GUGCUCGUAAAAAUGAGAGCUAGUUUGCAUCUCCCUCUUCAAGGAUGGAAUCAUCCUUCAUGGGAAUGGACUAGCUGGCUGGGCGGCCUAGAUUGAUUAU
rnacentral:ncRNA from 1 species